GGGGGCGAUCUGGUUUCGACGGGGACACGAAAAGAAGAGGAGCGUGCAGAGGACGCCGGUUGGCCUCUCAAAUCAUCCGGCAAAAAAACUAAGUGCCGACAACUACGAAGUCGCACUCGCCGCUUAACUGACGGCGACGCUCUCCCCUCCGAUGUCUGCUGAGAGGAUCGGAGAGUGUCAUUUUAGCAGGCUGGCUGAUUGAACUGGCUUCUUGGGUAAUCAGCGAGAUCUGACAGAAGACCGGGGAAAGAAGAGCCUGUCCGUGGGCGCUUCGACUCCUAAAUUAAAAUACGGAACACGCACGUAGCGCCUUGACCGGACGGUCUUCGGACGGGGGUUCGAUUCCCCCCGCCUCCACCA
rnacentral:tmRNA from 1 species